rnacentral:tRNA from 1 species
GGGCCAAUAGAUCAAUCCGGUAGAUCGUCUGGUUCGCAUCCAGAAGGCUUGGGGUUCAAAUCCCCAUUGGUCCA